rnacentral:rRNA from 1 species
AAUAGAUACCACGGUAGUCCACGCCCUAAACGAUGUCAACUAGCUGUUGGGGCCUUCGGGCCUUGGUAGCGCAGCUAACGCGUGAAGUUGACCGCCUGGGGAGUACGGUCGCAAGAUUAAAACUCAAAGGAAUUGACGGGGACCCGCACAAGCGGUGGAUGAUGUGGAUUAAUUCGAUGCAACGCGAAAAACCUUACCUACCCUUGACAUGUCUGGAAUGCCGAAGAGAUUUGGCAGUGCUCGCAAGAGAACCGGAACACAGGUGCUGCAUGGCUGUCGUCAGCUCGUGUCGUGAGAUGUUGGGUUAAGUCCCGCAACGAGCGCAACCCUUGUCAUUAGUUGCUACGAAAGGGCACUCUAAUGAGACUGCCGGUGACAAACCGGAGGAAGGUGGGGAUGACGUCAAGUCCUCAUGGCCCUUAUGGGUAGGGCUUCACACGUCAUACAAUGGUCGGGACAGAGGGUCGCCAACCCGCGAGGGGGAGCCAAUCCCAGAAACCCGAUCGUAGUCCGGAUCGCAGUCUGCAACUCGA